GAAGCUUGUUCUGAUCAGGCACAUCACAGUUGCUUCUCUUGGCUUUGGUGAAGGGACGAUCACGACUUCUGACCAACUUCUCAUCAUCGCACCUGUUUUGUCUCUUCUUUUGUUUCUGCACAAUGUCAAACCCAUUAGAAGCAAACUGUUUCUUAUCAAAAAUCAAUUGCUCCUUUUCAAAAACAGUUUUAAAAGGAAAGUAGACGUCUUGUUGUGGUUUUGAUUUCUUGAGAAGUCCAAACAUCCUGAAAACACUUAACAAAGUUAGCAAAUAAAAAUCCUCACACUCUCAAGUGUUUAGCUCACGAUUUUUAGAUGGUCACUCAGAGUUCUUUCACUGGUUCAAAGGAUGAUAGGCAGUAAAAAAUCAGCAGUCAAAACUCAAAACAAACUUUAAGGGAAAAAGAAAAGAAAAGAAAAAUGAAGAGAUUUUUGUGUGGAUCCGCCUUAACUGUCCUAAGGCUGGGUUUCUCUUCAGCCAGCAGGGUUUCUCUUCCACCACUCCCCCUGGAUUUCUCUUCAGAAGUGAUUCAAGCCAAAACUUUCACUCUUUUUUUUUUUUGAUCGAUUUUUUUUUUUCUCCUUUUUUUUUUUUUUUUUUUUAAAUAACUGGCGAUCACAAGGGAGUAAAGGAACAGCCCGGAUCCAAAAAGAAAUAAGAAAAGAAAAUCGUGGAGAGAUGAGAAGAUGAAAUGAAAACAAACCAGCCAAAGUGGCUCUGAUACCACUUGAUAGAACCAAAAUCGGGAAGGAUCACUUUAGCUGGGUGUUGGAUAUGAACCGAGAAGCAAAUGGCGCUUCUGGAACUGAGAUGGAUUGAAAGGAUCGUCAAGAGAUGCGGAAUGGCUCUUGAUAUACCCACGAUCUAAGGCUAACCACCUAAGAACGAAUGUAGUGUGUUGGCUAACCACCAAACGACACACAAAGAUGAUUGGCUGACCACCAAAUCAACAAGCCGGUUCAAACCGAUGAACUAGCUAAGAACUCUCUCUCUCACACUCAGAGAAGAAACUAAAUAAACAACCAAAAUGAACUGAUUUUAUUCAUCAAAGGGACUACAUAUUUAUAGUGUUUUGUAGUCAAAGACAAUAAAAGAAAAUGUGGGAAAAC
rnacentral:lncRNA from 1 species